rnacentral:tRNA from 1 species
GAUAGGAUGCCAGAUGAAUAUGGAUUAGACUUAGGUUCUAGAUAUGAAUUAUUUUAUUCUCCUAUUU